rnacentral:rRNA from 1 species
AGCUGUGGAUAGGAGUGAAAGGCUAAUCAAGGCUGGCGAUAGCUGGUUCUCCCCGAAAGCUAUUUAGGUAGUGCCUCGAGUCAAUACUCAGGGGGGUAGAGCACUGUUUGGAGAAGGGGGCAUCACGGCCUACCAACUCCAUGCAAACUCCGAAUACCCUGAAGUAAUACUCGGGAGACACACAGCGGGUGCUAACGUCCGUUGUGAAAAGGGAAAUAACCCAGACCAUCAGCUAAGGUCCCAAAGUUUCGGCUAAGUGGUAAACGAUGUGAGAAGGCAUAGACAGCCAGGAGGUUGGCUUAGAAGCAGCCAUCCUUUAAAGAAAGCGUAAUAGCUCACUGGUCUAGUCGGCUCGCGCGGAAGAUUUAACGGGGCUAAGCCGAGCACCGAAGCUAUGGGUUUGAAUGCCUUCGGGCGUUCAAGCGGUAGGGGAGCGUUCUCUAAGCCUGCGAAGGUGUGCUGUGAGGCAUGCUGGAGGUAUGAGAAGUGCGAAUGCUGACAUGAGUACGUUAAAGCGGGUGAAAAACCCGCUCGCCGAAAACCCAAGGUUUCCUGAGCCACGUUAAUCGGCUGAGGGUGAGUCGGAUCCUAAGGCGAGGCCGAAAGGCGUAGUCGAUGGAAAGCAGGUUAACAUUCCUGCACCGAUGGUUACUGCGAUGGGAUGACGGAGAAGGCUAGGUCAGCGGCAGCAGUGCCGUUCAAGGCCGUAGGGGUUAUCUCCUGGAAAAUCCGGGGAUAAGCUAUCCCCGAGAACUGAGCACGAGGAGCCUUCGGGCUUCGAAGUGACUGAUGCCACGCUUCCGGGAAAAGUCUCUAAGCUUCAGGUAAUCGUUGUCCGUACCGUAAACCGACACUGGUGGGUGAGCAGAUAAUCUGCUAAGGCGCUUGAGAGAACUCGGGUUAAGGAACUCUGCAAAUUGAUACCGUAACUUCGGGAGAAGGUAUGCCUCCUUGGGUGCGAGGAUUUACUCCUCAAGCUCAUAGAGGUCACAGGUAAUCGGGGGCUGCGACUGUUAUCAAAAACACAGGACUCUGCGAACACGAAAGUGGAUGUAUAGGGUCUGACGCCUGCCCGGUGCCGGAAGGCUAAUUGAUGGGGUUAGCCGCAAGGCGAAGCUCUUGAUCGAAGCCCCGGUAAACGGCGGCCGUAACAAUAACGGUCCUAAGGUAGCGAAAUUCCUUGUCGGGUAAGUUCCGACCUGCACGAAUGGCGUAACGCCCCCCACUGUCUCGACCCGAGACUCAGUGAAGUUGAAAUCGCUGUGAAGAUGCGGCGUAGCUGCC